UCUCCUGUAGGCUAGCUCAGUGGUAGAGUGUCCAACUGGUGUGUGGAAGGUCAUAGGUUCGACUCCUGUUGGGAGAA